AUUCGAAGUGAGUACACGUAUUAGUUAUUUUAACCUUUUCGCGUGUAUUUUUUAUUUGUUUUUAGGUUAACUGUAAUAUGUCAUUUUACUUUUUACUUAAUUAAUAAUUUAAUAUUAAAUGUUAUAGCUGAUUAUGUUCAGUUUCAGAAACUGUACGGUGAUGGUCAACACCGACCAAAAAUGCCAAAAAAGAUGCUAUAAACUGAAGCACAAAAGGCCAUCUGGCCCGUGAUUGUACGUAUAUUUUGUAAUUAUAAAUAUAUUAUUAUAUUAUUGCGCGGGGGAUGGCGGCACUUAUUCUCCGGACACCGUGACUUGCCCGAAGAAAAAUGUCACCCGGUGACCGCGAAUCGAACCAGCAACCGGCUGCGCCGCAACGACGCCUUAGACCGCACGGUCACCUCGUCCCCCAAUAUUAUUAAUUAAUAUUGAUUGUUAAAAAUAUGAUUUAAAUACAGGACAGAGAAGAAUGUCCAAGCGAAUAAAUAAAAUAUAAUCAAUAUAUUCUUUAAGAGUUUUCCUGGUGUCUAUAUUUAUAUUAAUAUAAUAUGAGUAUCUAAUAAUUAAAUAAUAGUAUCAGUUGUAGUAGUGCAACUUCAAUGUAUCAUGUUUGUAAAGGAAAGUAUAAAUUUGAUCAAAUUACUUACAUUACAAUUACAGGUAUUUGUGCAGCUCAUAGGUUAACAUAAUAAUAAUAAUGAUGUGUUAACAUGUGUGUUUUAAGUACCAUUAUAAUUAUGUUGAGUGUUGGCACCGUUGGUAUUGUUAUAGGUAUUUUUUUAUUUUUUGGUAGUAGCAUAAAUAUUUAAUACAUGUAUGUAUGCUUAUUCAGCUUAUUGUAA